CCUACGGGAGGCAGCAGUGCGGAAUCUUGGUCAAUUGUCUCGAGCCUGAACCAGCCAAGUCGCGUGAGGGAAGACGGUCCUAUGGAUUUUACACCUCUUUUGUCGUUGAGCAACAGACGCCACGCGUGGCGUUCCGAGAGUACCCGAAGAAACAGCAUCGGCUAACUCCGUGCCAGCAGCCGCGGUAAUACGGAGGAUUCGCGCGUUAUCCGGUGUUAUUGGGUUUAAAGGGUGCUUAGGCGGACGCUUAAGUCAGCGGUAAAAUUGCGGGGCGCAACCUCGUCGAGCCGUUGAACCGGGGUGCCUUGAGUGGGCGAGAAGUACGCGGAAUGCGUGGGGUAGCGGUGAAAUGCAUAGAUAUCACGCAGAACUCCGAGUGCGAAGGCAGCGUACCGGCGCCCAACUGACGCUGAAGCACGAAGGCGUGGGUAUCGAACAGGAUUAGAUACCCUGGUAGUC
rnacentral:rRNA from 1 species